GAGUGCACAAUAAGGCUAUGUUCGGCAAACUUAGCUGAAAAGAUAGCUGAAAGCUGAAAAGCUAUAAGCUAGAAGCUGAAAAUUGAAGGGCUAUUAAGCUAGCUGUUAUGCUUGAAAAAUUUUAUUUUCU